AUCCUUGUGUCACUCAUAAAUGGAAUGACUGGGUUUCCAUGCCAUUGUGUGGGAUCACUUCCCUCCAACACUGUUAUGAUAGCAGCGCUUUCCCUGUCUGACU
ensembl:snoRNA